CUAUACUGCAAGUCGAGCGGACAGAAGGGAGCUUGCUCCCGGAUGUUAGCGGCGGACGGGUGAGUAACACGUGGGUAACCUGCCUGUAAGACUGGGAUAACUCCGGGAAACCGGAGCUAAUACCGGAUAGUUCCUUGAACCGCAUGGUUCAAGGAUGAAAGACGGUUUCGGCUGUCACUUACAGAUGGACCCGCGGCGCAUUAGCUAGUUGGUGAGGUAACGGCUCACCAAGGCGACGAUGCGUAGCCGACCUGAGAGGGUGAUCGGCCACACUGGGACUGAGACACGGCCCAGACUCCUACGGGAGGCAGCAGUAGGGAAUCUUCCGCAAUGGACGAAAGUCUGACGGAGCAACGCCGCGUGAGUGAUGAAGGUUUUCGGAUCGUAAAGCUCUGUUGUUAGGGAAGAACAAGUGCAAGAGUAACUGCUUGCACCUUGACGGUACCUAACCAGAAAGCCACGGCUAACUACGUGCCAGCAGCCGCGGUAAUACGUAGGUGGCAAGCGUUGUCCGGAAUUAUUGGGCGUAAAGGGCUCGCAGGCGGUUUCCCAAGUCUGAUGUGAAAGCCCCCGGCCCCAACCGGGGAGGGUCAUUGGAAAUUUGGU
rnacentral:rRNA from 1 species